rnacentral:rRNA from 1 species
CCUACGGGAGGCAGCAGUGAGGAAUAUUGGUCAAUGGGCGCGAGCCUGAACCAGCCAAGUCGCGUGAGGGAAGACUGCCCUAUGGGUUGUAAACCUCUUUUGUCAGGGAGCAACGCCGGCUACGUGUAGCCGGACUGAGAGUACCUGAAGAAAAAGCAUCGGCUAACUCCGUGCCAGCAGCCGCGGUAAUACGGAGGAUGCGAGCGUUAUCCGGAUUGAUUGGGUUUAAAGGGUGCGUAGGCGGAAUGCCAAGUCAGCGGUAAAAUCGCGGGGCUCAACCUCGCUCCGCCGUUGAAACUGGCGUUCUUGAGUGGGCGAGAAGUAUGCGGAAUGCGUGGUGUAGCGGUGAAAUGCAUAGAUAUCACGCAGAACUCCGAUUGCGAAGGCAGCAUACCGGCGCCCAACUGACGCUGAAGCACGAAAGCGUGGGUAUCGAACAGGAUUAGAUACCCGGGUAGUC